rnacentral:rRNA from 1 species
UCGAACGAGUUCUCGUUGAUGAUCGGUGCUUGCACCGAGAUUCAACAUGGAACGAGUGGCGGACGGGUGAGUAACACGUGGGUAACCUGCCCUUAAGUGGGGGAUAACAUUUGGAAACAGAUGCUAAUACCGCAUAGAUCCAAGAACCGCAUGGUUCUUGGCUGAAAGAUGGCGUAAGCUAUCGCUUUUGGAUGGACCCGCGGCGUAUUAGCUAGUUGGUGAGGUAAUGGCUCACCAAGGCGAUGAUACGUAGCCGAACUGAGAGGUUAAUCGGCCACAUUGGGACUGAGACACGGCCCAAACUCCUACGGGAGGCAGCAGUAGGGAAUCUUCCACAAUGGACGCAAGUCUGAUGGAGCAACGCCGCGUGAGUGAAGAAGGCUUUCGGGUCGUAAAACUCUGUUGUUGGAGAAGAAUGGUCGGCAGAGUAACUGUUGUCGGCGUGACGGUAUCCAACCAGAAAGCCACGGCUAACUACGUGCCAGCAGCCGCGGUAAUACGUAGGUGGCAAGCGUUAUCCGGAUUUAUUGGGCGUAAAGCGAGCGCAGGCGGUUUUUUAAGUCUGAUGUGAAAGCCCUCGGCUUAACCGAGGAAGCGCAUCGGAAACUGGGAAACUUGAGUGCAGAAGAGGACAGUGGAACUCCAUGUGUAGCGGUGAAAUGCGUAGAUAUAUGGAAGAACACCAGUGGCGAAGGCGGCUGUCUGGUCUGUAACUGACGCUGAGGCUCGAAAGCAUGGGUAGCGAACAGGAUUAGAUACCCUGGUAGUCCAUGCCGUAAACGAUGAAUGCUAGGUGUUGGAGGGUUUCCGCCCUUCAGUGCCGCAGCUAACGCAUUAAGCAUUCCGCCUGGGGAGUACGACCGCAAGGUUGAAACUCAAAGGAAUUGACGGGGGCCCGCACAAGCGGUGGAGCAUGUGGUUUAAUUCGAAGCAACGCGAAGAACCUUACCAGGUCUUGACAUCUUUUGAU